rnacentral:rRNA from 1 species
UACGGAGGGUGCGAGCGUUAAUCGGAAUUACUGGGCGUAAAGCGUGCGUAGACGGUUAUUUAAGUCGGGUGUGAAAGCCCCGGGCUCAACCUGGGAAUUGCAUUCGAGACUGAAUAGCUAGGGUACGGUAGAGGGAAGUGGAAUUUCCAGUGUAGCGGUGAAAUGCGUAGAUAUCGGAAGGAACAUCAGUGGCGAAAGCGACUUCCUGGACCAGUACCGACGUUCAGGCACGAAAGCGUGGGGAGCAAACAGG